rnacentral:rRNA from 1 species
UACAGAGGUGGCAAGCGUUGUUCGGAAUUACUGGGCGUAAAGGGCUCGUAGGCGGCCAACUAAGUCGGAUGUGAAAUCCCCAGGCUCAACCUGGGAACUGCAUCCGAUACUGGAUGGCUUGAAUUCGGGAGAGGGAUGCAGAAUUCCAGGUGUAGCGGUGAAAUGCGUAGAUAUCUGGAGGAACACCGGUGGCGAAGGCGGCAUCCUGGACCGACACUGACGCUGAGGAGCGAAAGCCAGGGGAGCAAACAGG